rnacentral:misc_RNA from 1 species
GAUGAAGAACGCAGCGAAAUGCGAUAAGUAAUGUGAAUUGCAGAAUUCAGUGAAUCAUCGAAUCUUUGAACGCACAUUGCGCCCCCUGGUAUUCCGGGGGGCAUGCCUGUUCGAGCGUCAUUUCACCACUCAAGCCUCGCUUGGUAUUGGGCAUCGCGGUCCGCCGCGUGCCUCAAAUCGACCGGCUGGGUCUUCUGUCCCCUAAGCGUUGUGGAAACUAUUCGCUAAAGGGUGUUCGGGAGGCUACGCCGUAAAACAACCCCAUUUCUAAGGUUGACCUCGGAUCAGGUAGGGAUACCCGCUGAACUUAAGCAUAUCAAUAAGCGAGGA